AUUGAACGCUGGCGGCAUGCCUUACACAUGCAAGUCGAACGGCAGCGGGGGAGAAGCUUGCUUUUCCUGCCGGCGAGUGGCGAACGGGUGAGUAAUACAUCGGAACGUGCCCUGUAGUGGGGGAUAACUAGUCGAAAGAUUAGCUAAUACCGCAUACGACCUGAGGGUGAAAGUGGGGGACCGCAAGGCCUCAUGCUAUAGGAGCGGCCGAUGUCUGAUUAGCUAGUUGGUGGGGUAAAGGCCUACCAAGGCGACGAUCAGUAGCUGGUCUGCGAGGACGAUCAGCCACACUGGGACUGAGACACGGCCCAGACUACUACGGGAGGCAGCAGUGGGGAAUUUUGGACAAUGGGCGAAAGCCUGAUCCAGCAAUGCCGCGUGUGUGAAGAAGGCCUUCGGGUUGUAAAGCACUUUUGUCCGGAAAGAAAUGGCUCUGGUUAAUACCUGGGGUCGAUGACGGUACCGGAAGAAUAAGGACCGGCUAACUACGUGCCAGCAGCCGCGGUAACAC
rnacentral:rRNA from 1 species